rnacentral:rRNA from 1 species
UACGUAGGGUGCGAGCGUUAAUCGGAAUUACUGGGCGUAAAGCGUGCGCAGGCGGUGAUGUAAGACAGUUGUGAAAUCCCCGGGCUCAACCUGGGAACUGCAUCUGUGACUGCAUCGCUGGAGUGCGGCAGAGGGGGAUGGAAUUCCGCGUGUAGCAGUGAAAUGCGUAGAUAUGCGGAGGAACACCGAUGGCGAAGGCAAUCCCCUGGGCCUGCACUGACGCUCAUGCACGAAAGCGUGGGGAGCAAC